UACGUAGGGGCCUAGCGUUGUCCGGAUUUAUUGGGCGUAAAGAGCUCGUAGGCGGUUCGGUAAGUCAGGUGUGAAAUCUCCACGCUCAACGUGGAGGGGCCACCUGAUACUGCCGUGACUCGAGUCCGGUAGGGGAGUGUGGAAUUCCCGGUGUAGCGGUGAAAUGCGCAGAUAUCGGGAGGAACACCAGUAGCGAAGGCGGCAAUAUGGGCCGGAACUGACGCUGAGGAGCGAAAGCGUGGGUAGCAAACAGG
rnacentral:rRNA from 1 species